UAGUAACUGCGAGUGAAGAGGGAAAAGCUCAAAUUUAAAAUCUGGCGGGCUCUGCUCGUCCGAGUUGUAAUCUGGAGAAGCGUUUUCCGCGUCGGACCGUGCAUAAGUCUCCUGGAACGGAGCGUCAUAGAGGGUGAGAAUCCCGUCCAUGGCACGGACCACCGAUGCUUUGUGAUACGUUUUCAAAGAGUCGAGUUGUUUGGGAAUGCAGCUCAAAACGGGUGGUAAAUUCCAUCUAAAGCUAAAUAUUGGCGAGAGACCGAUAGCGAACAAGUACCGUGAGGGAAAGAUGAAAAGCACUUUGGAAAGAGAGUUAAACAGUACGUGAAAUUGUUGAAAGGGAAACGCUUGAAGUCAGUCGCGUCCGACGGAACUCAGCCUUGCUUCGGCCUGGUGUACUUUCUGUCGGACGGGUCAACAUCAGUUUUGGCCGGUGGAAAAAGGCAGGGGGAAUGUAGCGCCGUUUCGGCGGCGUGUUAUAGCCCCUUGCUGGAUGCAUCGGUCGGGACUGAGGACCGCAGCACGCCUUUUUGGCCGGGGGCUUCGCCCUACGUACCGUGCUUAGGAUGUUGGCAUAAUGGCUUUAAGCGACCCGUCUUGAAACACGGACCAAGGAGUCCAACAUGCUUGCGAGUGUUCGGGUGGAAAACCCUUGCGCGCAAUGAAAGUAACAGUUGGGAACCUCCGCAAGGGGGUGCACCGACGCCCGGCCCUGACGUUCUCUGACGGUGCUGCGGUAGAGCAAGUAUGCUGGGACCCGAAAGAUGGUGAACUAUGCCUGAAUAGGGCGAAGCCAGAGGAAACUCUGGUGGAGGCUCGUAGCGAUUCUGACGUGCAAAUCGAUCGUC
rnacentral:rRNA from 1 species